AAGGAGUCUAUAAAUACAUUCACAGUGAAAUAUAUUUACAGCAGGCUCCUGAUACUCCGUCUAGCCUGAAUUAUUCUACAAUUACACUGUCACUGCUUCCUUUUCCCUGAACAGUUAAAACCAAUUUAUCAGCAGAGAAACAGAACUUCUCCUAGAGUUUGGCCAGAGGAAUUCAUCUGUGCCAGAAGCUCUAAGCAGCUACUUCCAGCAAUUUAUUCAAGUGCCUUUAUUCAAAGUUUUAUACCAUUCCAAAAGAAAGUGGUGCCAAACAGCCUUGUCUAAUCCCAUUUUCAUAGACUUCUCAACUCCAUAGAGAAGGGGAGAGGACUGUCAGGAUAUGACAGUUGAAGUCAACCACAACCCAAUACCCAGGAAAUGAAAUCUUUAUUCAUCUGACAUCCAUUCAUGUCAAGAAAUCCAAGCAUGAGCUAAGCACAUAAGAUAGACUCAGCACCGAAGUAGUUACAGACAAGGAUGUAACUGGCGGCUCUGGAACUGCACUGCUGUGUAUUAACAAUUGGCAAUUAACUUGCAGGAACAAAAUCUUUAGGUGGUCUUAGAGCUGGGAUCAGGAAACCACUUCCAAUAGAGACUCACAGGCUGCCUGGAUGUAUCAACAGCACUAAAGGAAGACAGUGGGAGCAGCUGCCUGCCAGCUAUGCAUGAUCACACACAGACACAGCUUCAUUCUCCGUGUUCAAAGAUAACUUGCAAGUUCAUUCAUCUAAGAACUGACAAAAGGGAAGCCCAACUGAGCCUGACCACAGUAAAGUAUAUCCAACAGGAAUGCUAAUCAGCAGCUGCUCUCACUUGACUGCUCCAAACAACCAGAGGAGUGCCUACAGUCCUUGUGGUCAGAAGCACAGAAUCACGGAGCGGCUGAGCUAGAACAGACCUCUGGUCGAACCCCAAGCUCAAGCAGGGCCAUCUGUCCAGAUGUGGAUGGCUUUAGAAGAUGUUCACAGAUGGAGCCUCUACCACAUCUCUGGGCAAACUAUGUCAGUGUCCAGUCACCCUCGCAGUGAAAAGGGUGUUCAGACAAUGUUCAGACAGAUGUACCUGUAUUUCACUGCCUCUGCUCCUGCCUCAUAUCCAGCACCUGAGUGCCACUCUAAAACUAUGACAAAUGCUGCUGCUGGAAAGAGGUUUGCACUUAGGGCAAAGUGUAAGACCAAACUGAGAGCAGCAUCUGCUUUUUAUUUCAAAAAAGCUGAAGACAAAGAUCAGGCAGUCCAGUUGCUGUGUGCAUGACCACCUCCUUAAAGAGCCUUGAAGACACUUGGGAUGUACAGACAGCACAAGGACAGCCUGGCUCUUAAGCACAAUCAUAAACCUAUGCCAGGCUUGGCUUUUGUCAACUGACACCUCAAAAAGGCACAGAGGUAUUAGAUUCCGCAUGAAGACAACUUUCAAGCUCUUCUUCCUUUGGAGUAACCUCUGAUUUAGAAUUAGGCCUGUUAAUCUGACCUUAAUACUACACAAAAUAAAAUGCAAGAAUAAGCCUUCCUUCUGUAGUCUAAGCCUGCACCUCUGGCAAGUCCCAACUCAUUUGGUUUAAACUGUGGGUCUGCUGUCCUUUAGUAAUGUUUGCCCUGCAGGAACAAUGUUGUACAGCAAGGACAAGGCUUCUAGACACAAAUACAGAAGUCAACACAAGCCAAGUAAUACCCACUGUUGUCUACAUAUGUGGAUUAUGACUCUUGAUUUAGAAAAUGGGAAAAGACAUAGCUGAGACCUACUGGCAUUGCUUAUUAAGCAUUAGGAUAAAAGAGUAUGUUCUCUCCAUACAGUAA